UUCCCGUAUGAUCACCGAAGUUAAGCAACGUCGAGCCUACUCAGCACCUAGAUAGGUGACCGCUUAGGAAUACGAGGUGCUGUAA